CAAGAACGAGGCCGUGCCUCCCUCCGGCCCUCCUUAACCUUGCCUACUGCUACCCUUUUGUUGCUUCCCUCGGCGGCGGUAACUGCCCGCCGGCAGGGACGCUUGAUACAAUCCCUGUAAUAAGCAUUCCAAAACUCUGAUAAAACCUAAAUCGUA
rnacentral:misc_RNA from 1 species